AGUGGGAUAGCUGGGUCAAAUCAUUUCAUUUCUAGUUUUUUAAGGAAUCUCCACACUGCUUUCCAGAGUAGUUGCACCAAUUUGCAGUCCCACCAGCAAU
rnacentral:pre_miRNA from 1 species